GCAGGGGGUUGGGAGCACUUUUAGACUCAACAGCAUUCCAAUAACAACCUGAAACCUUCAAUGGAUUACAAGUGCAAAGGCCUAUUUGUGCCUUGCUAUGGACCCACCCACUGGGCUCCAUGACAACUAUUAAAAUGGGCAAAGCAUGAACGCUUUAAGGAAGAUGCAAAUUAAUGAGUCGUCUUCUCACCUACUUUCUUAUUUCUGGCGCCCGGAGGCAACGGCGCGCUAUUCUGGAGAUGUUUGGAGCAUUCCAAACAGCCUCCAACUCUUGCCGUUUUGUCUUGUGCUUCAGGUGCUUCAAAUUCAAUUUUUGUUCAACUUGCGUUUUACAAAUUGGAACAACAACACAUAUAGUGAGUGGCAGCGGGCCCUGAGGCCAAGCGGCGGCAGCGGGAGGAACGCUGAAGAUCAAAUCCACGCAGCUCCAUGACCCGCUGAGGAAGUUGAGGUGGCAGUAAAAGAAGUUGAAAUUGAAAAAGAGAGAGAGACGUGGAGAGAGUGAGUUACAGCUGCUGACAGGACAGACGGAAACUCAGACGAACAAUUCCCAGUGAAAAUGAGCCGCCGGCUGGGGAGAUUAGUAAAAAAAAGCCAGAAAAAAAAGAAAGGAGGAGGUCGGUUAGGGUGAUGAAAAUGAUCCACGCCCUGGGGGGGGGCGCUGCCUCCUAAUGUGACUUAUUCCCUCGCAGCAAUUAAGCAGACUGACGUUCGGCGGAGAGGACUUGCAUUCUUUUGAAGUAGCGAGACUCGGAGAUUGCAACAAGUUCCAACUAGACUGCUUUCCAAUGCACGAGGAAGAUUUUUUUUUCUUUACAAUCAGGGGUCACUCAAAAUCCUCCCAAGGCCAUAAUGAUGGCAUUAUGAUGUCAUCAUCAAUUCGCAACUCUGAAAAAUAUCAGCUGCUACUUUUAAUUUUCCUUAUGUAAUAAUUCUUACAUGUUACAGUGUUCUGUAAACUUCUCACUAAAAGCUUUCUUUCACCAUCUCACGUUUUCUGCUGUUAAAAAUGAAGAUUUCUCGUGGAGUUGAGUUGUGAAUCAGUUGUUGUGCAGGAAGGGCCCCCGCCACAAAUCACGCAUGUAACACCUUUCUUCUGCCUUGACAAGGUCAUCGCUUUGCCUCCGAGGCAUCAACGAGUUAGCGGCGGCUGUCAGGUGAGAAUGCACUGGUUAUUCCAUUGUUCAUUUGUUUAUGAGCAAAAUAUCGUAAAUGUCACAGAGCAUUGACAGAAAGCGGGCAACCAACAGUCGUCAACGUCUUAGCCGCACUUGCAAAUGACAAAUCUGCUUGGAACGGGUGAAAAGUGUUUAUCACUUUGGAUAAUUGCUGUAAAUCUGUCAUGUAGUCUUUGUGAAGUCACAAAAGUUUCGAGCUAAACUACAAACUUAGCUUAGAAUUUGCACUUGUGAAAAGGCCAAAACAGCAGAAGAUAUGAUGCAAAAUUGACUUUAUUUUUCACUUGUAAAAUCGGCAAAUGUGGAAAGUCUCCAGAAAGCCCCAAUAACAUCACAAGAUGUCACUAGAUUUGUUGCGAGACACUUUUUAAAAAAUCAUUUAGUAAUGUUUUAAAUGAAAGCUUCUAUUUGACAAUGACCAAUCGGCGCAGUGACACGAUUAGCGACGAGCGCUGUUGCCGAGCCCUCUUGAUGCUGAUGAGUCUGCCGGCGAUUCACUGCGGGCCAGCUUUGAAAUGUCACUCCCAAUUGAAUCUGUGGCGUGAUUCAUUUCUCCGACUCGCCCAGCACUGCAUGAUACUGAGCGGGCAGAAAUGUCAAAGAGGAUGGAUUUUUCAGAGGACAUUCCAGAGUUUUGUCAUUUGUGUAGAAAGGAACAUCAACAGAACUCUCAGUAGAGAAGAAAUCAAAAGAAAAUGUAAAUGAGCAAAGAGAUACUGCUGGGACCCACAAGCCUAUAAGCAGAUUUUUUUUAAAUGAGCAUCACCUCUCUUCUUGAUGUGAAUGUGAAUGAUUCAGCAUUCGAGUCUACGCUUAAUGAUGCAAUAGGAAUUGAAUGGUGGCCAGUUGGGGAACAACAUUUGGUUCGGUGUGCCUCAGGGAUCUAUUGUCGGUCCUCUGUUCUUUAAUAACGACACGCUGUUA